GUUGAUAAGGUUAAGUGAAUAAGGGCGCACGGUGGAUGCCUUGGCACUAGGAGCCGAUGAAGGACGGGACUAACACCGAUAUGCUUUGGGGAGCUGUACGUAAGCUAUGAUCCAGAGAUUUCCGAAUGGGGGAACCCAGCAUCUUUUAUAGGAUGUUACGUUUGCGUGAAUACAUAGCGCAUUCGAGGUAGACGCAGAGAACUGAAACAUCUAAGUACCUGCAGGAAGAGAAAGAAAAUUCGAUUCCCUGAGUAGCGGCGAGCGAAACGGGAAAAGCCCAAACCAAUGAGCUUGCUCAUUGGGGUUGUAGGACUCCAAUAUGGUAGUUCUUUCAGAUAGUCGAAUGACUUGGAAAAGUCAGUCAAAGAGGGUAAAAACCCCGUAGAUGAAAUUUGGAAGGCACCUAGGAGGAUCCUGAGUACGGCGGAACACGAGGAAUUCCGUCGGAAUCCGGGAGGACCAUCUCCCAAGGCUAAAUACUCCCUAGUGACCGAUAGUGAACCAGUACCGUGAGGGAAAGGUGAAAAGCACCCCGGAAGGGGAGUGAAAUAGAACCUGAAACCGUGUGCCUACAACAAGUCAAAGCCCGUUAAUGGGUGAUGGCGUGCCUUUUGUAGAAUGAACCGGCGAGUUACGAUUGCAUGCGAGGUUAAGUUGAAGAGACGGAGCCGCAGCGAAAGCGAGUCUGAAUAGGGCGUUUGAGUAUGUAGUCGUAGACCCGAAACCAUGUGAUCUACCCAUGUCCAGGUUGAAGGUGCGGUAAAACGCACUGGAGGACCGAACCCACGUACGUUGAAAAGUGCGGGGAUGAGGUGUGGGUAGCGGAGAAAUUCCAAACGAACUUGGAGAUAGCUGGUUCUCUCCGAAAUAGCUUUAGGGCUAGCCUCGGAAUUGAGAAUGAUGGAGGUAGAGCACUGUUUGGACUAGGGGCCCAUCUCGGGUUACCGAAUUCAGAUAAACUCCGAAUGCCAUUCAUUCAUAUCCGGGAGUCAGACUGUGAGUGAUAAGAUCCAUAGUCGAAAGGGAAACAGCCCAGACCACCAGCUAAGGUCCCAAAAUAUAUGUUAAGUGGAAAAGGAUGUGGGGUUGCACAGACAACUAGGAUGUUGGCUUAGAAGCAGCCACCAUUUAAAGAGUGCGUAAUAGCUCACUAGUCGAGUGACCCUGCGCCGAAAAUGUACCGGGGCUAAACAUAUUACCGAAGCUGUGGAGUACACCUUUAGGUGUAUUGGUAGGAGAGCGUUCUAAGGGCGUUGAAGGCAGAUCGUGAGGACUGCUGGAGCGCUUAGAAGUGAGAAUGCCGGUAUGAGUAGCGAAAGACAGGUGAGAAUCCUGUCCACCGAAUGACUAAGGUUUCCUGGGGAAGGCUCGUCCGCCCAGGGUUAGUCGGGACCUAAGCCGAGGCCGACAGGCGUAGGCGAUGGACAACAGGUUGAUAUUCCUGUACUCGUUGUUUUUGUUUGAGCAAUGGAGGGACGCAGGAGGCUAAGGAAUGCAGACGAUUGGAAAUGUCUGUCUAAGCAGUAAGUCUUGAU
rnacentral:rRNA from 1 species